rnacentral:misc_RNA from 1 species
AAGUCGUAACAAGGUUUCCGUAGGUGAACCUGCGGAAGGAUCAUUAAUGAAUAUCUAUGGCGUUGGUUGUAGCUGGCUUCUAGGAGUAUUUGCACACCCGUCAUUUUUAUAUUUCCACCUGUGCACUUUAUGUAGAUCUGGAUAACUCUCGUCUUUUACAGGCGGAUGCAAGGAUUGCUGUGUCGCAAGGCCGGCUUUCUUUGAAUUUCCAGGUCUAUGUACUCUUACACACCCCAAUUGAAUGAUGAUGAAUGUAGUCAAUGGGCUUAUAUAGCCUAUAAAACAAUAUACAACUUUCAGCAACGGAUCUCUUGGCUCUC